rnacentral:rRNA from 1 species
CAGUCGCCACGGUAAUACAGAGGGUGCAAGCGUUAAUCGGAUUUACUGGGCGUAAAGGGCGCGUAGGUGGUUAUGUAAGUGAGAUGUGAAAUCCCCGGGCUCAACCUGGGAACUGCAUCUUAUACUGCGUAGCUGGAGUGCAGUAGAGGGUAGUGGAAUUGCGAGUGUAGAGGUGAAAUUCGUAGAUAUUCGCAGGAACACCAGUGGCGAAGGCGGCUAACUGGUCCAUAACUGACGCUGAGGUGCGAAAGCGUGGGGAGCAAACAGGAUUAGAUACCCCAGUAGUCCCUGUCUCUUAUAC